CAUGUAGGCGGUUAUAAAAGCUUGAUGUGAAAUCUCUGGGCUUAACCCAGAAACUGCAUUGAGAACUGUAUGACUAGAGUUACUAAGGGGAAACUAGAAUUCCAGGUGUAGGGGUGGAAUCUGUAGAUAUCUGGAAGAAUACCAAUGGCGAAGGCAAGUUUCUAGUAGAUAACUGACGCUGAGGUGCGAAGGUGUGGGGGAGCGAACA
rnacentral:rRNA from 1 species